rnacentral:tRNA from 1 species
GGAGGGGUGGCCGAGUGGCUGAAGGCGGCGGUCUUGAAAACCGCAUCCCACCUCGCGUGGGACGGGGGUUCGAAUCCCUCCCCCUCCGCCA